UACUGCAUUUUUUAAUUAUCUUAGUCAUGUACCCUGUUAUUACUAAGGCACUGACUAAUCAAAACAAUUUAUCAGAAUUAACUUUAUUACAACGGAGACUAGAGUUCUGGUGAAAGCAAACCUGACUACUUCAUUGAAACUGAAAGAACUGUGGAUGCUGUAAAUUGGAAAAAAAAAACAGAAGUUGCUGGAAAGGCUCAGCAGGCCUGGCAAACAUCUGUGAAGAGAAACCAGAGUUAAUGUUUUGGGUUUGGUGACUCUUCUGCAGAACUCAGAACAAUGGCACUCAUAAAAUUGGAUACAAAAACUGAAGAUGGGCAAGUCGUGAACCUGCUACUAAAACGUAAGUAGAUGACUGUUGAGCACCAAAGCUCAUCUAAUGGUUAUAUGACCCAGCUAUCUCAAGAAAGUAUAUUUAACUUCACAUGAUUGGCUACCAGGGGGAUUUGUGAGUUAAUUAUUGAAUUAGCCAAUGAAACCUACAAUACGCUAGCCAUUCCAGGACUCCAGUACAUAAUAAAUAAACAAAGACCCAAGCCUGACAAUUUUUGACUGAUGACAGUGGUCACAAAAAUCUUGUGUAAGUAUGACAUUAUCUCCUUACCAUUGUGCUUCAUGUCUUUAGGUGCAAAAGUAAGGACCCAUAUUUUAAAGAGUAGUAGUGGCCCUAUUGGACUGUGAGAAUGUUGAGGGGCUCUCUGCCUCCAUUGGUCAUGGACUGAAUAUUACAUUGAUCAGGCAAUUAUUUAUUUGCAGACCUGGUUUCUGCCUCAAUUAGAGUACCAGCUCUUCAGUCCCUGUGCUGGAAAUGGUGAGCAUGCCUGGGAUUGCAGUCGGUGCCAAAUUAACAACAUGAAAUCUUCCCCCCGAUCGCAGGACAAAAAUGUGCUUCUAAUGAAACACACAGCAACAGUGAAUUGGAGUUGUACAGAAGAUCAACCCUUGUUAUUUCAGUGAUAGUGAGACCAGGCUUUGAGGAAUCCCCGAGGGACCGGAAGUCUGCAUUGAGGCCAUGCCAGAUUGAGAGACUGCCACUUACUUCUGAAAGGCUGCCAUGUUAGGCCAAGAUAGAUCUGGGCCACUGAGAGAUCACUAAACUGGGCCGAGGACCACCACACUUGGCUGAGAGUCAGCCCCACCAGGCUGGGAAGCCUCCAUGCUGGAUGCGUGCUGGGUCUAAGACUGGGAGUUCGUGGCCAGGAGUUCAUGGUCAAGAGGAGAAACAAGAGAGAUGUGAAAAAGAAACACAAAAGAGAAGCAAAAAUAGAAAAUUAAAGAAAAUGAAGUGGAUGGAGAUGACAAGCUCCAUCUGAAGCAUUUCAUUCUCCUGCAAUCAUGGAUUAUGUAGUACCCAGAACUGCACAAAACUCGAUGAUAUCAAGCCAGUGUUCUACACAAGGUUAACAUGGUUUCCUUGUUUUUGCACAGCCACAUUUGAUUUAAUUCUUGUUUAAUCCAGUCAUGUCAAUGUGUCAGAAAACAUUUAAGCCUGUGCAGAUACUUUAUCAUGAAUUAAAUGUCAUUAAAAGUUGCUGAUUGAAUAGUAGUCGUAAGCAGGUGAUCUUUGAUGCAACUAUAAAAGCAUUAACAAGUAAGUCUGGGAGAGAUUGUUUGGACUUGAUUUUAACCCUGGUGGUAAUGGUGCCACAGGGAGUUAAAACAGAGGUAAGGACAACUAUAUUCUCAUUGCAUUAGCCUUUACCUUACUUCAAGAGCUUUCAGGGACACUGAAGCAGACAGCCCCUGCAGGCAAGCGAUGGGCCUCAUAAUAAUUUAAAUGAUAAGACCAGCUGCACAAUGCAAGCACAUCUAAUUGUGGAGUUCAUAGGGCACUUUGAGUUCCAAGAUGGCUGCAAAGUUACUAGCUAUAAGAAGCAAUAUCAACCAUUUUAACCACCCUUACUUUGGACAGUUUCUAUCUGACUCCAGUAGUCUGAAUCCAUGUUAUUUCCUACCAUCACCAGGUAAAGCAAUGAAAUCUAAUCUCUGCAGAAAUAUUUACAGCAAUCAUGUUAUGAUAAGAAAUCAGAAUAGAUUUAGAAGAGAGAGUUUCCCUUAUAAUCGGACAUUUUCUGACUUUCUGUUUCUGGCUCUUACUGGGAGAGACCUAACUGGAAGAUGUGUACUUAUAACCAUUACUGUUUUGUCUUACAAAUCCAUGUCGCAUGUCCGUUUUUUUCCAUUUUAAUGUUCUUAGUGUCAACGUGGGCAAUCCCCCUUUGAGAUUUGUCAGAUCUCAUGUCAGGAAGAGGGAAGUUAUUCUCACUAUUCAAACCAAUAUUGAUCCAUUAACCAACAUCACAAAAAAUAGGGUUCUGCAUUUCCAAUAUUAUAAGAGCAUCUCCAAAAUUCUUAAGCACCUCAAUGGCUAUAAAGAGCUUAGGGAAAUUCCUAAGGAUAUUACAUGAAUUUUUUUUAGCUUAAAAUGAUACAUGAUUUUUUUUUUCAUUCAUGGGGUGAGGGUGUUGCUGGUUGGGUAGCAUUUAUUGCCCACCAAUAAUUGCUCAGAGGGCAGUUAAGAGUCAACCACAUUGUUGUGGCUCUGAAGUCACAUGUAGGCCAGAGCAGGUAAGGAUGGCAGUUUCCUUCCCUAAAGGAUAUUAGUGAACCAGAUGGGGUUUCCUCCAACAAUGGAUUCAUGGUCAUCAUUGGAUUCUCAAUUCCAGAUAUUUCAUUGAAUUCAAAAUCCACCAGCUGCUGUGACGGGAUUUGAACUUGGUCUCCAGAAUGUUGUCUGGUCUUUGAUUAACAGUCCAGUAAUAAUACCACGAGGCCAUCACCACCCCCUGCAGGAAAUAGAAGCUGAAAGAAUUGAAAAUAGAAUGAGACUGGGUAACUGUAUGAAACAUAAUCUGUUAACAGUCCAACACCAUUAGAGAUUGAGGGUAGUGUCAGGAGGAUUCGGGUUGGUUGUGAUUAUGUGAAGUAAGCCAUGACUCCUUUGACUCCGAGAUAAUGGGAACUGCAGAUGCUGGAGAAUUCCAAGAUAAUAA